rnacentral:rRNA from 1 species
UGCAGUCGAGCGACCCUUCGGGGUUAGCGGCGGANGGGUGAGUAACNCNNNNNNNANGUGCCCUUUGCUACGGAAUAGUCCCGGGAAACUGNNGGUAAUACCGUAUGUGCCCUACGGGGGAAAGAUUUAUCGGCAAAGGAUCGGCCCGCGUUGGAUUAGGUAGUUGGUGGGGUAAUGGCCUACCAAGCCGACGAUCCAUAGCUGGUUUGAGAGGAUGAUCAGCCACACUGGGACUGAGACACGGCCCAGACUCCUACGGGAGGCAGCAGUGGGGAAUCUUAGACAAUGGGGGCAACCCUGAUCUAGCCAUGCCGCGUGAGUGAUGAAGGCCUUAGGGUUGUAAAGCUCUUUCAGCUGGGAAGAUAAUGACGGUACCAGCAGAAGAAGCCCCGGCUAACUCCGUGCCAGCAGCCGCGGUAAUACGGAGGGGGCUAGCGUUGUUCGGAAUUACUGGGCGUAAAGCGCACGUAGGCGGACCAGCAAGUUAGGGGUGAAAUCCCGGGGCUCAACCCCGGAACUGCCUUUAAAACUGCCGGUCUGGAGUUCGAGAGAGGUGAGUGGAAUUCCGAGUGUAGAGGUGAAAUUCGUAGAUNUUCGGAGGAACACCAGUGGCGAAGGCGGCUCACUGGNUCGAUACUGACGCUGAGGUGCGAAAGCGUGGGGNGCAAACAGGAUUANAUACCCUGGNAGUCCACG